UAAUAAGGACUCAAGAAGGGGUAGGUGAUUUUAUAGUGGUAGUCAGGGAUCCCUUAUGUCCUCAGUGGAUAUAUGUUGCAACGGUUUCACAGGAAGGUUAGUAAAAGACAAAUAAAAUUUAAGUAUAAUUUAGAGCAUCAUUUUUCAUCUGCAUGAUGGAAAUUCAUGUUUUUGGUGCAUCAAUUAUACUUUCUGAUGUUUAUCUUGAUGUCACCUUAUCCAGCUUCUCUAUUUACCC
rnacentral:lncRNA from 1 species